UACGAAGGGGGCGAGCGUUGUUCGGAUUUACUGGGCGUAAAGGGCGCGCAGGCGGCUUAUUUUGUCAGGCGUGAAAGCCCCGGGCUUAACCUGGGAACUGCGUUUGAUACGGAUGGGCUAGAGUUCGGGAGAGGAGAGUGGAAUUCCCAGUGUAGAGGUGAAAUUCGUAGAUAUUGGGAAGAACACCAGUGGCGAAGGCGGCUCUCUGGACCGAGACUGACGCUGAGGCGCGAAAGCGUGGGGAGCAAACAGG
rnacentral:rRNA from 1 species